rnacentral:lncRNA from 1 species
CAACAAAUCACCAAGUUUUCUGUAUAUGAAAAAACAGUCUAACCAAUAAAUUUCAAAUAUGUGCCUAAUAAAGGCAACAGUAGUAAACCGCUUGUCGAGAUUCAUAAAUCGAUUGAGAGAAAAAAACAAAUCCGGGUUACAAACUAGAACUGAGAAAAACACAUAAAAUAUAAGAGGAGAACUAUACGACACAACAGAAACACAACAUGAAAAUGUAACACACACAGAAACAGACUAUAUAUAUAGUAUAGCAAUGGCCAUUUUCCCGACUUGACGCAGGACAUUUUAAGAAAAAAUGGUGGGAUGCACCGCUUGUUUUCUGGCAUGCCAAACCUUCCGCUUUUAUGGAAUGUUAAUAUAACAUUUAAAUGACAACAUUACAUGAGAGGACUACAAUACAAAUAAAUGAGAGCACAUAUAGGACAGAGAAAACAUAGCUAACAAAUGGUACCAGGU